CCUACGGGAGGCAGCAGUGAGGAAUAUUGGUCAAUGGUCGGGAGACUGAACCAGCCAAGCCGCGUGAGGGAUGAAGGUACAGAGUAUCGUAAACCUCUUUUGUCAGGGAACAAAGGCGGGGACGUGUCCCCGGAUGAGUGUACCUGAAGAAAAAGCAUCGGCUAACUCCGUGCCAGCAGCCGCGGUAAUACGGAGGAUGCGAGCGUUAUCCGGAUUUAUUGGGGUUAAAGGGUGCGCAGGCGGCCUGUAAAGUCAGCGGUCAAAGCCCGGGGCUCAACCCCGGACCGCCGUUGAAACGGGCAGGCUCGAGUUGGAGAGAAGUAUGCGGAAUGCGCGGUGUAGCGGUGAAAUGCAUAGAUAUCGCGCAGAACUCCGAUUGCGAAGGCAGCAUGCCGGCUCCACACUGACGCUGAGGCACGAAAGCGUGGGUAUCGAACAGGAUUAGAUACCCCUGUAGUC
rnacentral:rRNA from 1 species